rnacentral:rRNA from 1 species
CAAAAACAUCUCUUCUUGACUUAGUUAAGAUAAGAAGUAGGCCCUGCCCGGUGGCUUAGCGGCUAAACGGCGGUUAAAGCCUUAAAGUAGCGUAAUAAAUUGGCCUUUAACAGAGGUCUAGUAUGAAAGGGUUUGACGUUGGGGCAACUAUCUUACGGAGGACUCUUGAAAUUUACCUCCUAGUAAAAAGGCUGGAUUUUCCUUAAUAGACGAGAAGACCCUGUCGAGCUUGUUAACCUGAUCUUGGUUUUUCGGCGAUGGUAGAUUGGUUGGGGCAACAACGGAGAAAAUACAAACCUCUAGUUUACUUUGAAUAAAGGUCCUUCAUUUGUGGCGAAGAGGAUUAGUUACCGCAGGGAUAACAGCGCAAGACCGCUGCCGAGGUCUUAUUGUGUGGCGGUAUUUGCGACCUCGAUGUUGGAUUAGGGUAUCGUCCAGGCGCAGAAGCUUGGGUGGAAGGUCUGUUCGCCCUUUAAACCCCUACAUGAUCUGAGUUCAAACCGGAGA